UUUGUGGAGAGUUUGAUCCUGGCUCAGGACGAACGCUGGCGGCGUGCUUAACACAUGCAAGUCGAACGGAAAGGCCUCAGCUUGCUGGGGUACUCGAGUGGCGAACGGGUGAGUAACACGUGGGUGAUCUGCCCUGCACUUCGGGAUAAGCCUGGGAAACUGGGUCUAAUACCGGAUAGGACCCUCCUUUAGUGUGGGGGGUGGAAAGUUUUUUCGGUGUGGGAUGAGCCCGCGGCCUAUCAGCUUGUUGGUGGGGUAAUGGCCUACCAAGGCGUCGACGGGUAGCCGGCCUGAGAGGGUGGACGGCCACAUUGGGACUGAGAUACGGCCCAGACUCCUACGGGAGGCAGCAGUGGGGAAUAUUGCACAAUGGGCGGAA
rnacentral:rRNA from 1 species